GGGUGUGUAUUAUGUGUGUAAUGUGUGUGGCUCACUGACCGUGUACAGGUGAUUCCACAUGUCUAUCGAGUGUGACUGUAUGUGACCUGGAGGUUGGGCUGCGUGUGUCAGUCUGUGACCACCUGUGUGUGUGAAAUCUGCGUGUCAGUCACCAUACAUGAUAAUGGUGUAGCCGUGUGUGGCUGUCUAAUGUAUGAGAGUGUCUAUGAGACAGGGACAUGGAGGUGAUGGGGAGCGGCUGGUACAGCAUGGAGGUCUCAGACUCUGUGAUUAUACUGUAUCUUGCUACAGUGACUGUGAUUGUGAUGAUGGGUGGGAUCGUGUGACACGGUGGAUGCCAGGAUGUGUGAUUGUGAGAACAUGUCCUCUGUGUGUGCAUAUGGGUGUGUGAGAGUCUCCAAGCAGGAGAGUCUGGUUGGGGGUCCAGGACAGGGAGGGUGGUGGCCCAGGCUGCAUGCAGGUGUGGCCUAGAGGGAGGAGAUGCCGUGGGGGCCUGGCCCGUGCCUCAGCCUGUGACCAUGUCCCUUGCAGCUCCUCAGACACUUUCCUGCAGCCAGAAUGAGUAUGUUUUGUCUUCCUUCCACAGAUCUGUACUGAGCACCCAGUGUGGGCCUGCGCUGUUCCAGAUCAGAUUCUGCAGCGAGGAGGACAGGCAUGGCCGGCCUCCGUGGAGCCAAUGUUGUAUGAGGAGGCAGAUGGUUAUCAAAGGAACAAGCCAGUUCCCUGAGGAGCUGGCAUCUUAGCUGAACAGAGGGAAGGACUCAGGGAGAAUGUUUCAGGGUGAAGUCAACAAAUCAACAUUUGUCAUCUUGGUUUUUUUCAGAUCAAGGAAAGUGAGCACAGGGCAUAUCCAAAGACUUGCCACAACCCCUCACGGGGAUGGUAAUGGAAGUCGUCAGAGAAGACAUUUCAUGGGGCUCUGCCUUCCCAGACUGGUGCUCCUGAGGCCUGCUCAAGGAACCAGAACAGAAGUUCUGCUGGAGAUGUGGAGGAACAUUUGCUUUUCUGGGAAGAAGAUUUAAAGCAACAGUCAGUUCCUGACAUGGAAACUCCUAGUGUGGGGAGAGGCUGUGGAGGCAGUGAAGUUGUGAGAAGUGUCAGGAUACCUUCCAGCCCUAUCAAACAAGAGAGUGUUGCUGUGGAGAAGAAACCGCACAUGUUAGUUGCACAUGGAGGGAGCUUUGAGCAAGUUCCAGGGCCAGCUGUGUUGUAGGCAGCCUGUGUGAACAGGAUACCCUGAAGGUGCAGCUUCUGUGGGAAGAGUUUCAAGCAGCACUUGGCCCUCAGUGUGCACGAGAGGACUCACACGGGGAAAAGCCCUAUCCAUGCAGCACCUGUGUGAAAGUCUUUUGGUGCUGGUCCAACCUCACUGUGCACCAGAGGAUCCACACUGGAGCGAAAUCCUACGAAUGCCAGGAGUGCGUGAAAGUCUUCAUUCAGAACUCCACACUCACACUGCACCAGAGGACCUACACCAGAGAGAAGCCACACAAAUGCAGGGAGUGGAGCAAGGCCUUCCAGGGAAGUUCAGACCUGUGGAAACACCAGCAGAUUCACACAGGGGAGAAGCACUAUGAGUGUCAGGAGUGUGGGAAAGCCUUCAGGUGGAGCUAGCCCCACAUCUGCCAUCAGAGGAUGCACAGUGGUGAGAGACCAUAUGCGUGUGGCUGGCGCAGCAAGGCCUUCAUCCAGAGCUCACAGCUUAGCCAGCACCAGCAGAGUCACAUGGGUAAGAAGCCUAUGAGUGCCCAGAGUGCAGCAAGGCCUUCAGCCUGAGCACCUACCUUGCUGAGCACUAGUGGAUCCACAUGGGCGAGAAGCCCUGUGCCUCCCUGAAGUGCGGCAAGGCCUUCAUCCAGCGCUAACACCUCAGCCAGUACCAGCGCACCCACACGGGUGAGAAGCCAUACAUGUGUGUUGAGUGGCAAGGCCUUCCACUACAGUUCAUUUCUCCUCCAGCACCAGAAGCUCCACCCCAGGGAAUAGCCCUGGUGGCUGUGCUCUCACCAUGUCCUAUGUCAC
rnacentral:lncRNA from 1 species